CCCCCUUGGAGUCCAUGAGGGCUUGUUGAUUUUUGUUUAUUGUACCUUAUCCAAAUACUAGUGAUUUUCAAAAUGAAACAUAGUUCACAAAAACAUCAAGACGAUGCAGGUCAAACUGCAGCGAAUGUAACAAAGGUUGAAAAACGUCUGGGCAAUGAAGAUAUUCCAAGAGAGACCGAAAACAAAUGCAAAACGGGGACAGAAAAUGAUAAAUCCAUCGAUUUGGAUGAUGUCUGGAAAAAUGUCAAACCAAUUACACACUCAACAGGAAUUCCAAAGGGAAGACCAAAAUCCGGGCGAACAUGGAAAACUGAACAAACUAAAAGAUUUUCAGAUAUCAGAAAAGAUAAACCACUACGCUCUACAUGGCAGAAGAAAAUGCAAUUGAAAUCAGAAAAGAAAAAUAUAAAAAAAGUAUGAACAAGAAUUAAAAGAAGCCAGAUCCAAAGAAUUGGAGAUUCGACUUAAAAAGAAAGCUGACAAGAGGAAUAAGAAAUUGGAAAAUGAGAGAAAAUCUGAAGUUGUGCAAGUGAUAAAAAAUACAGCCAAGAUCAAGAGAAUGAAAAAGAAGCAGUUGAGAGCCAUUGAAAAAAGAGAUACAACCAAGAUGUUGAAGAAAUAAAUUGGUUUAUUUAUAAAAUAA